CUCUAUGAUGUUCACACAAUGAUGAAAUCGCCUAAGGCCGCAUUUCUCAGAAUGUAUCCCUGUAGUUAAGUGACAUAUGACCUUCUGGCAUGUGGGCCUAGUGAGGCUACCAGUGUUAAACUAUAAGUCAGAUAUUGUUACAAGCUAAUGUUCCUUAGGUUUUUAGAUAAAAAAUAAAUAGAAAAAGAAGCUGCAACUUCCCAUGCUUCCACGGAUUAUCCUGUGUACACCUUUUGAUACAUGCAUUUUCUGUUGUUACUUUGUAUACCUCUUUGAAUUCAUUACUUUGGAGAACUUACUUCAAAGAUGAUCCUUUAGCUUGAAAAAUAGUUCAGUAAGUUUGGGCAACAUGAGUUCUAGUGUCAUAAACAUGGAUAAACCAGAUUUCUUUUGAAACCUAAAGAGCUAGACCAAGCAGCAGCCAGGCAGAUCAAGAGUCUCUUCCUAUAAACUGUGACUAAAAUGACUGACACUCUGGAUUUUCUUUCAGUGUCACUGCAAGGAAGGAGAAGGAUAGUAACAGAAUGGAGGAAUCAGGCUGCAAUGGAAAAUUUCCGAACGAGGAGUUCUGUUGUUUUGCCUAUAGACAGAAAUUUAGAUGAUGCAUUGCGAAUUCUAUCUUGGAAGUUGCUUAUUGGAUCGUAAGCCCAUAGUUGCUUGAUAGUUUUUGUAUUCCAAUGAUUAUUCCUCCACAACAAACUCAGGCUAAAAAUGAAGAUGUUGACCAGAUGACUAACAUUGAAAAAUAAAUGCAAGCUUUUUAGUCUUCAUUUUAUCCUUCAAGUAAAUACAGUUGAAAUUCAAAGAGAGGUUUGGGAGUAGGAUGAGACAUGAAGCAAGCUAUGUAUGUGAAGAUGGUUAUAGAUGAACUUUUAUGAAGGCAAAAGAGAGUCCUGGAAGGCAGGAACUACCCUCCGAGAGACCUGAUGCAAAGAUCGUGUCCUCUGAGAGUCCUGCCCCAGCUCCAUCAGGGAGAGAAUCUGCUUCUUCCUCUACUUUGACACAUCAUCAUACUCCUUGAAUAAGGCACAUUUCGCAUGCACUGCCUGCUAAGAAGAAUGUUUCAUCAAAUGCUUCUGAAUGAAUAAAUGAGAAGAAUUGCAUUGCAAAGUGAGGAAUCCAGAAUUAGAGCUGCAUCUUCUAUGGAAGUGUCUUAUGCCAAGUGAAGCCUGAAAUUAUGUGAAGAAAUUUGGUUCACUCUUCUAAGAGUCCCACUGGCACCCUGGACUCCAAAUGAAUCAAUGAAUAUGGAAAUAAGUUGUUUUCUCCACGAUGACCAUAAAAAUGCACAACAGAAACAGCAUCACAUUUAUUCAAGCUCUGGGGAUUUACUGCCCUUAUGUGUAUGGGAAGCACUUGUGGAGACAGUUUCAAAAUGAAAAACAAAUGAUUCGCUGGCCUCUACCAAGAAAGAUAAGACUUUCAGUGACAUACUUCUGUGAUGCAGACACUCUGCACACACCAGCUCAGCAAUAUCAUGGAGGACAUCGAUGUUACCCUGACUCACAAAGAACCUUGUUCUAAGAUAAUGCAUUUCUGGUAGCAAGUCAUUAAGGAAUAAGAACAUUGCCUAAGAUUUUUUUGUAAAGGGGCCUAUUUAAGUAGAUCAUUUCAUGUAGGACUUUUCUAAGUGUACAUUGCCAAAUUCAAUAAUUCUUCAAUGGUAUUAUGUGGCUAGUUUGAUAGGAUCAUUAUAUCUGAGUGUUAUGAGGUCAUUUGAAGAAAAAUACUUCUAUCAAGGAAAAGUUCCAUCUAAUAUUUACCCGUUUACAAUCCAAAAUGUAAACUAAAAGAGAAUUCAUAAAUGUGUCACAUGACUACGAGUAUAUUUUGAGGAUAGAGAGUGGUUUUUGUCUUGUCAGAAUGUGACAGGCAAGGUCUUGGGUUGGGUUGAGUAUACAUGUCUUUGUGGCUAUGGGGACUUAUAAAUUAUCUAGGUUACACUGAGCUCUGCCUCCUCCAUGCCUGAUCAUUUAAAUGCAGUCAGACCCAAGAAACUGGAGUAAAAGUUGGGCUUGGGCAGGAGCUCUUGGCCUGUAUCUAUUCAGGCUGACCUCAGACUUGCUUAUUCAACCUCUGUCCCACAUUCCCAUCUUGAGCUAUUGACUUCAACCUCUAGCUACUUAAAACCCUUGUUCUUACCACUCAUUUUGAAUCUGGUUUCUGGCUUACUAGAGCAUUUGGACUCUUUUUGUGCCCCUUUCAUUUUGGGGCACCCUCAGUAUUUCAGGAAGCAUAUUUGUGCCAAUGGAUCCUCAAAUACAGAUUUCCACAGAACCACAUAACCCAGCAGUAGGUGUUCAUCUCCAGGUUGUAUGCAUUGAGAGCUGAGGUCCCCAGAGCAGCCACUGGGAGGCAGUGGAUGGCAGAGCAGCUGUGCUCUGAUCCCCAUGCUUAGGCAGUCAGGCACCACCCUCUGGGCAUACAGACUGACAUGUCCACCCCCUGCCUGUCUGCUUCUCACUGAGCAGCUGACUUAGCCAAUAAGGAGCCAUUGAGGGUAUGUUUUUACAAAUGGCAAUGUCUGGAGCUCUUUCUGUUGCAGGUGCUGCUCCUGCCAUCCAGUGAGUCAUGGUAAACUCAGUAGACUGUUCAGCCCCUCGAUGCAGAUAAAGCCACAUGUAGAAAUAUGGAGUUUAUAGUUCUCAGGAGAAUGUAAGAGAAAGACAGGCAUUCCUCUAUCCAUAUGUGUCUGUGGAAGUUGAGAGGGGAUGUUUCGUAGUAGGGAAUCCUGCUUUUCUGUAAUUGAAUGGUGUUUCAUGGCCUUCCUAACUUGCGGGACGUACGUAAAAGUCCUACCUAGUGAAAUGUGGCAGAUGCUGUGAUAUGUAUGGCUGAAUCAGCAGAUGGAGUGCAUGACACCUAAUUCCACUGCCUUGCACAAGAGUCAAAAUUAGGCUGAUGAUGCUGUAGGCCCAGCUCUGAGAAGGCCCCAGGGUGUUAUGUGUGAGAAACUGGCCACAGUAUCAGCUUUCUCACUCUCUCUCUCUUCUUUUUUCUUAAGAUAGAGUGUUUUGCUGUGUUUUCCAGGCUAACCUUGAACUCCUGGACUCAAGUGACCCUCCUGCCUCAGCUUCCCAUGUGGGAAGUAGCUCAUAUUGGAGGCCCACACCACUGCUCCCAGUUCAGUACCAUCUUUUGUUACUGAUAGACCUUUGAGUGAAGCCCAUUGUGUAACCAAGGAUCUGCUCAUCCUCCGUCAUUGCUGCAACAGAUCACAGACCAUCCACUCCAUGAUCAAGGGUGGGAGAGGAUCUCAUGUCAUUGACUACUGGGCCUCCCCUAUGGUCUUGGCAAAAUGGACACUGAGUAUCACCACUUUUCCUGUAUUGUGCUCCUACAUCCUCCUUGGAUCUGAGAUUUUGUGUCUUUUCUCUCCUGACCGCUGGAAAUAAUUCACCUCUAUUCUCAGGACCAUUACUGUUCUUGGGUGGCAGGGAUUCAAGGGGUUCCAUCUGACAGUUGGGGGAUCAACAUGAGGCCACUCUUGCCAACAGCGUUGCUCUGAUAUACCCAGGUCUCAGGAUGGGUUUCAGCCUUGUUCCUGGGUUCCAACACUCACCUCACAGUUGAUGGUUAUGGUGGUCAAGAGUCCAUCUUUGUGGUCAGAGAGAUCUCAGUUUAACUUUUACCUUUGCCACUACUAUUAGAGUGAGCCUUGGGUAAGGUAUUUAACCUCACUGAGCCUCAGUUUGUAAUCUGUCAAAUAGAUAUAAUCAUACUACUUCACCAAUUAUUGUGAAGAUUAUCAAGAUAAUGGAUAUCUAGUGCUUAGCACAGGGUUUAGUUGGAUACUAUUUUGAACACUGUAUGUUCAUUAAUUCACUAAGUCCUUCUAUCUCCAAGUGCUAAGUUGUAUUGUUGAUUUUAUUCUAUGUAUGAGAAAAUUGAGGCACAGAGUUUAAUUAACAUGUCCCCAAACCACUUAGGUAGGGACACUCUGGCUUUGGAGCCCAUGAUGUUAACCUCUCUGCUUACUGCUGAUCAAUAUGCAGUUCUCCUUUCACAAUCCAAAGCUGCAUUUACUUAGCAAAGUAGUGGCAAGGUCUUUUAUACUGUAAUCCCCAGGAUGAUGGUGUAAUUCUUCAGAGUAAUCCUUUCUUAGAAUUAAGUGCUAUCCACCUCCACACGUUGCUCACUAUAUGCUAUGUACUUUUUAAAUGGUGGCUUAAGCUUUUAAAAGCAUUUUUCUGCAGCACAAGAAUACAAGAUAUGAGUCAAAAGAACAACAUAGCUCCAGGAUGCUUGUGUCUAAUAAUCUAGAGUUCUUAGACUUUACGUUUGGCCUUAUUGUAACUUUUUCAAUUCAGUGAGCAACAACCAUCAAUUUUUCAUAAUAAUAUGUUCAAAUCAAUAGAAAUCAGAACUUUUUUUCAUGAAUGG
rnacentral:lncRNA from 10 species